CACGUGUAGCAGUGAAAUGCGUAGAGAUGUGGAGGAAUACCGAUGGCGAAGGCAGCCCCCUGGGAUAAUACUGACGUUCAUGCUCGAAAGCGUGGGUAGCAAACAGGAUUAGAUACCCUGGUAGUCCACGCCCUAAACGAUGUCGAUUAGCUGUUGGGCAACUUGAUUGCUUAGUAGCGUAGCUAACGCGUGAAAUCGACCGCCUGGGGAGUACGGUCGCAAGAUUAAAACUCAAAGGAAUUGACGGGGACCCGCACAAGCGGUGGAUGAUGUGGAUUAAUUCGAUGCAACGCGAAGAACCUUACCUGGUCUUGACAUGUACGGAAGAACUCAGAGACGAGUUUGUGCCUUCGGGAGCCGUAACACAGGUGCUGCAUGGCUGUCGUCAGCUCGUGUCGUGAGAUGUUGGGUUAAGUCCCGCAACGAGCGCAACUCUUGUCAUUAGUUGCCAUCAUUUAGUUGGGCACUCUAAUGAGACUGCCGGUGACAAACCGGAGGAAGGUGGGGAUGACGUCAAGUCCUCAUGGCCCUUAUGACCAGGGCUUCACACGUCAUACAAUGGUCGGUACAGAGGGUAGCCAAGCCGCGAGGUGGAGCCAAUCCCAGAAAACCGAUCGUAGUCCGGAUUGCACUCUGCAACUCGAGUGCAUGAAGUCGGAAUCGCUAGUAAUCGCAGGUCAGCAUACUGCGGUGAAUACGUUCCCGGGUCUUGUACACACCGCCCGUCACACCAUGGGAGUGGGGGAUACCAGAAGUAGGUAGGGUAACCGCAAGGAGC
rnacentral:rRNA from 1 species